AUGUGCCACAACAAUGAGCCAUUAACACCGUCCCAACAACGGCUUCUGUACACAGCAGGGCUGCCUGAUGGUCUUCACAUUGACGUCGAGCUUCGGUGGCCAUCUUACCAACAUACUGCCAUCUCCUUCGCCAAGGCCUAUGAGCAGAAGCAUUUCUCGACAACAAUGCCAUCACACCAGCCCUCUGGUCCUACAGGGCCCUUGUGCCCCUCCAAUCUUCCCGCGGCCAACGCAGCUACAAUACCUUCCCCGCCAGCGCCACUACCACUUAUUCUGUUGUCGACCAUUCCAGAGCCAACCCCGCCACGGCAGGUUUGGCGCUUCACUCCAGCUGAGUUAGAAGAACGUCGCAGCCAAGGCCUUUUCUUCAACUGUGAUGAGAUUUAUGUUCAGGGUCAGCGGUGUGCGCGACUCUUCUUCAUCGAGGCUGAUGACGACGACCAAGAAAGCUCCACAUCUGGUAGCACCCAAGGCUCCCUGGGAGGCAAUUGA
rnacentral:rRNA from 1 species